GUAUGAAAAUUGUUGAUUUGAAUAAAUAAAUAAAGUUAUUGUAAUUAAUACAUCUAAACAGUUCACAUAUAAAAAAGUUAGAUCCACCCUUUCUUUUAAUUCAUACACAUGUACAUAUACCCUUAGGGCAGUACUUGAUCAUGAGUUGGUCAGUGGAUAUUUGUGAUCUUGGUUUUUAUUGGUUGUUUGUGUCAGGUUGAAUUUGGUUGGUUUGUAUAUUUUGCUUUAUGUGUUUUACCGCCAAGUUUGACAAUCUUUGUCUGGACAUUGACCAAAGCAGACUAUAUAUUUAUAUUGAGAAGUAAUUUUAUUUUGGACCAGACCUUGCUCUUUUUCUGAAUCAGUCAAUGUCAAUAUAAUUUCACCACGCAAUCGGUGUACGUAUUAUGAGCCUGUUCCCAUAGAAUGGUGAGAAAGUGUUUUCGAAUAUUUUUUAUCUGAUUAAUAUAUUUUAUGACUUAUUUUGGAGAAAUGUAAUUCAUGUAUAUUAUAAGAGUUACCUCCCGCUAAAUGUUUAAAGUACAAUUAUAGUAAGAUAAUGUAAAAAUAUUAUCUUGAUGGAAAUACAUAUAUAUUGUACUAAUGUUAUAUUUUGAUAUAAAUUAUAUUAUUGUUUUAUGAUAUUUCAGGGCUUAAAUAUACAUUGCAAAUUUUAAAGUCACUGUGUCCGGAUACGAAUAAACGAACCAUACAGAUA